UACGGGGGGUGCGAGCGUUGUCCGGAAUCACUGGGCGUAAAGGGCGCGUAGGUGGUUUGAUAAGGGUGUGGUGAAAGCCCGGGGCUCAACCCCGGGUCUGCCGUGCCGACUGUCAAACUCGAGGGCUGUAGAGGCAGACGGAAUUCCGGGUGUAGCGGUGGAAUGCGUAGAGAUCAGGAGGAACACCGGUGGCGAAGGCGGGUCUCUGGGCCGAUACUGACGCUGAGGAGCGAAAGCGUGGGGAGCGAACAGG
rnacentral:rRNA from 1 species